rnacentral:rRNA from 1 species
UACGUAGGGUGCAAGCGUUGUCCGGAAUUAUUGGGCGUAAGAGCUCGUAGGCGGUCUGUCGCGUCGGAUGUGAAAUCCAGGGCUCAACCCUGGACCUGCAUUCGAUACGGGCAGACUAGAGUUCGGUAGGGGAGACGUGGAAUUCCUGGUGUAGCGGUGAAAUGCGCAGAUAUCAGGAGGAACACCGGUGGCGAAGGCGGGUCUCUGGGCCGAAACUGACGCGUGAGGAGCGAAAGCGUGGGGAGCAAACAGG